rnacentral:rRNA from 1 species
CCUACGGGGGGCUGCAGUGGGGAAUAUUGGACAAUGGGCGAAAGCCUGAUCCAGCCAUGCCGCGUGUGUGAAGAAGGCCUUCGGGUUGUAAAGCACUUUCAGUGGGGAAGAAAGCCUUGGGGCUAAUACCCUCGAGGAAGGACAUCACCCACAGAAGAAGCACCGGCUAACUCCGUGCCAGCAGCCGCGGUAAUACGGAGGGUGCGAGCGUUAAUCGGAAUUACUGGGCGUAAAGCGCGCGUAGGCGGUCUGAUAAGCCGGUUGUGAAAGCCCCGGGCUCAACCUGGGAACGGCAUCCGGGACUGUCAGGCUAGAAUGCAGGGGAGGAAGGUAGAAUGCGCGGUGGAGCGGUGAAAUGCGUAGAGAUCGGGAGGAAUACCAGUGGCGAAGGCGGCCUUCUGGACUGACACUGACGCUGAGGUGCGAAUGCGUGGGUAGCAAACAGGAUUAGAUACCCUUGUAGUC